UACGGAGGAUGCGAGCGUUAUCCGGAUUUAUUGGGUUUAAAGGGUGCGUAGGCGGACUCUUAAGUCAGCGGUGAAAGUUUGCAGCUCAACCGUAAAAUUGCCGUUGAUACUGGGAGCCUUGAGUGUAGAUGAAGUAGGCGGAAUUUGUGAUGUAGCGGUGAAAUGCAUAGAUAUCACGUGGAACUCCGAUUGCGAAGGCAGCUUACUAAACUACAACUGACGCUGAAGCACGAAAGCGUGGGUAUCAAACAGG
rnacentral:rRNA from 1 species